GAUGAACGCUGGCGGCGUGCUUAACACAUGCAAGUCGAACGGAAAGGCCAGUGCUUGCACUGGUACUCGAGUGGCGAACGGGUGAGUAACACGUGGGUGAUCUGCCCUGUACUUCGGGAUAAGCUUUGGAAACUGGGUCUAAUACCGGAUAGGAGUACUUUUUGGAUGUUGUUGUGGAAAGCUUUUGCGUUAUGUGAUGAGCUCGCGGCCUAUCAGCUUGUUGGUGGGGUAAUGGCGUACCAAGGCGUCGACGGGUCGCCGGCCUGUGAGAGUGUACGGCGACAUUGAGACUGAGAUACGGCCCAGGCUCCGACGGGAGGGAGCUGGGGGGAAUAUUGCACAAUGAGCGCAAGGCGAAUGCAGCGACGCCUCGUGUGGUAUGAAGGCCUUCGGGUUGUAGACUCCUUGCGCUAGGGACGAAGCUUUUUUGUGACGGUACCUGGAGAAAAAGCACCGGCUAACUACGUG
rnacentral:rRNA from 1 species